AGUAUAAGUAUAUAUACUCUUUUGAUCUCAUUAGGGAAAUUUGGUCUCUGCAUUUAUCCCUAUCCGUGAUUUAGUGAAACUCACUCAGCACACGGUGAACACACAGUGAGGU